rnacentral:rRNA from 1 species
UUAAGCGACUAAGCGUACACGGUGGAUGCCCUGGCAGUCAGAGGCGAUGAAGGACGUGCUAAUCUGCGAAAAGCGUCGGUAAGGUGAUAUGAACCGUUACAACCGGCGAUGUCCGAAUGGGGAAACCCAGUGUGAUUCGUCACACUAUCGUUAACUGAAUACAUAGGUUAACGAGGCGAACCGGGGGAACUGAAACAUCUAAGUACCCCGAGGAAAAGAAAUCAACCGAGAUUCCCCCAGUAGCGGCGAGCGAACGGGGAGCAGCCCAGAGUCUGAAUCAGCUUGUGUGUUAGUGGAACGGUCUGGAAAGUCCGACGGUACAGGGUGAUAGUCCCGUACACCAAAAUGCACAGGUUGUGAACUCGAAGAGUAGGGCGGGACACGUGGUAUCCUGUCUGAAUAUGGGGGGACCAUCCUCCAAGGCUAAAUACUCCUGACUGACCGAUAGUGAACCAGUACCGUGAGGGAAAGGCGAAAAGAACCCCGGCGAGGGGAGUGAAAAAGAACCUGAAACCGUGUACGUACAAGCAGUGGGAGCACCUUCGGGUGUGACUGCGUACCUUUUGUAUAAUGGGUCAGCGACUUAUAUUCUGUAGCAAGGUUAACCGUAUAGGGGAGCCGCAGGGAAACCGAGUCUUAACUGGGCGUUAAGUUGCAGGGUAUAGACCCGAAACCCGGUGAUCUAGCCAUGGGCAGGUUGAAGGUUGGGUAACACUAACUGGAGGACCGAACCGACUAAUGUUGAAAAAUUAGCGGAUGACUUGUGGCUGGGGGUGAAAGGCCAAUCAAACCGGGAGAUAGCUGGUUCUCCCCGAAAGCUAUUUAGGUAGCGCCUCGUGAAUUCAUCUUCGGGGGUAGAGCACUGUUUCGGCUAGGGGGUCAUCCCGACUUACCAACCCGAUGCAAACUACGAAUACCGAAGAAUGUUAUCACGGGAGACACACGGCGGGUGCUAACGUCCGUCGUGAAGAGGGAAACAACCCAGACCGCCAGCUAAGGUCCCAAAGUCAUGGUUAAGUGGGAAACGAUGUGGGAAGGCACAGACAGCCAGGAUGUUGGCUUAGAAGCAGCCAUCAUUUAAAGAAAGCGUAAUAGCUCACUGGUCGAGUCGGCCUGCGCGGAAGAUGUAACGGGGCUAAACCAUGCACCGAAGCUGCGGCAGCGACACUAUGUGUUGUUGGGUAGGGGAGCGUUCUGUAAGCCUGCGAAGGUGACCUGUGAGGCAUGCUGGAGGUAUCAGAAGUGCGAAUGCUGACAUAAGUAACGAUAAAGCGGGUGAAAAGCCCGCUCGCCGGAAGACCAAGGGUUCCUGUCCAACGUUAAUCGGGGCAGGGUGAGUCGACCCCUAAGGCGAGGCCGAAAGGCGUAGUCGAUGGGAAACAGGUUAAUAUUCCUGUACUUGGUGUUACUGCGAAGGGGGGACGGAGAAGGCUAUGUUAGCCGGGCGACGGUUGUCCCGGUUUAAGCAUGUAGGCUGGUUGUCCAGGCAAAUCCGGAUAAUCAAGGCUGAGGUGUGAUGACGAGGCACUACGGUGCUGAAGUAACAAAUGCCCUGCUUCCAGGAAAAGCCUCUAAGCAUCAGGUAACAUCAAAUCGUACCCCAAACCGACACAGGUGGUCAGGUAGAGAAUACCAAGGCGCUUGAGAGAACUCGGGUGAAGGAACUAGGCAAAAUGGUGCCGUAACUUCGGGAGAAGGCACGCUGGUGUGUAGGUGAAGCCCCUGCGGAUGGAGCUGAGACCAGUCGAAGAUACCAGCUGGCUGCAACUGUUUAUUAAAAACACAGCACUGUGCAAACACGAAAGUGGACGUAUACGGUGUGACGCCUGCCCGGUGCCGGAAGGUUAAUUGAUGGGGUUAUCCGUAAGGAGAAGCUCUUGAUCGAAGCCCCGGUAAACGGCGGCCGUAACUAUAACGGUCCUAAGGUAGCGAAAUUCCUUGUCGGGUAAGUUCCGACCUGCACGAAUGGCGUAAUGAUGGCCAGGCUGUCUCCACCCGAGACUCAGUGAAAUUGAACUCGCUGUGAAGAUGCAGUGUACCCGCGGCAAGACGGAAAGACCCCGUGAACCUUUACUAUAGCUUGACACUGAACAUUGAGCCUUGAUGUGUAGGAUAGGUGGGAGGCUUUGAAGCGUGGACGCCAGUCUGCGUGGAGCCAACCUUGAAAUACCACCCUUUAAUGUUUGAUGUUCUAACGUUGGCCCCUGACCGGGGUUGCGGACAGUGUCUGGUGGGUAGUUUGACUGGGGCGGUCUCCUCCCAAAGCGUAACGGAGGAGCACGAAGGUUAGCUAAUCCUGGUCGGACAUCAGGAGGUUAGUGCAAUGGCAUAAGCUAGCUUGACUGCGAGCGUGACGGCGCGAGCAGGUGCGAAAGCAGGUCAUAGUGAUCCGGUGGUUCUGAAUGGAAGGGCCAUCGCUCAACGGAUAAAAGGUACUCCGGGGAUAACAGGCUGAUACCGCCCAAGAGUUCAUAUCGACGGCGGUGUUUGGCACCUCGAUGUCGGCUCAUCACAUCCUGGGGCUGAAGUAGGUCCCAAGGGUAUGGCUGUUCGCCAUUUAAAGUGGUACGCGAGCUGGGUUUAGAACGUCGUGAGACAGUUCGGUCCCUAUCUGCCGUGGGCGCUGGAGAAUUGAGGGGGGCUGCUCCUAGUACGAGAGGACCGGAGUGGACGCAUCACUGGUGUUCGGGUUGUCAUGCCAAUGGCACUGCCCGGUAGCUAAAUGCGGAAGAGAUAAGUGCUGAAAGCAUCUAAGCACGAAACUUGCCCCGAGAUGAGUUCUCCCUGAGACUUUAAGUCUCCUGAAGGAACGUUGAAGACGACGACGUUGAUAGGCCGGGUGUGUAAGCGCAGCGAUGCGUUGAGCUAACCGGUACUAAUGAACCGUGAGGCUUAACCUU